rnacentral:ncRNA from 2 species
UUGGAUUGAAGGGAGCUCU